AUAUUGAACCAGUGUACAAUUUCGUUGAUAAAGCAAUAAUUCCUGGGGAUAUAGUGUGACCAUUCGGGUAUUUGAGAAGUUCGCUGCUUUUUUCUUCGCUUUUGGAAGUCGAAUGCUCUUUAUUAGUUAGACAGUCAUCGUAACAGUAUAGAGGAAUUCGUAUUAACAAAUCAAUAGAAAAAUCCAACGGAUUGUAAAGGUUAGCGCGAACAGAGAAAGAAGAACCGGACGGUACAUAUGAAGGAGACGAGGCUGAAAUCUCUAGUAAAUUAAGUGAGGAAAUAGACUGCGCUGCAGAAACGUUUCCAGAACUUGACAACUGUUUGGUGUGAGUUUUUGUAGGUGUCCGUCGAGUAAUAAGAACGGGUGGAUGUUUGUAAGUAAAAGGCAUGCUUUCAACUAAGGUCUCGGAUAACUUUUGAGCAACAAUGACCUUACAAAAACAUUGUAAUUCGAUGUGCUUAAUAUUAUCAGGUAUUUGGAGCAGAUGUAUUAUUGUAAAGACAUCGGAACUUGACAGUGUUAUUUGCAGCUUUUCAGGAGUUUUAGGAGCGAAAAGUGAAAUCGUCGCAGCAUUUGUUUCUGCCUUAAAUCCUAGAAUCCUUAUAUUUUCACACGAAGAAUCGGGAGAAACUAUACUAGUUAUAUAUUGGUUUGAUUCAUUUAAUGCAUAAGACCGUAGCUUUAGUACAACUGGGACCGAGCACUCAAAUACCUUCUUCCUUGUUUUCGUUUUCCUUGAAGGAUCUUUCAGUUCAUUAGCAACAUCGGAUUCGCCAAAUACAUAAGCCCCAGAGAUGACAGGCGGAUUAGAACGAAAUUGGAUGUCAUUGGAAAGUGAACCUAAUAAAUUAUAGUCACCCUCAACCUCUGAUACGUAUUCAUUUUGCUCAUCCCAAUCAGAUGUGUUAGAAUUUUCUUCUCGUGUACCUUCUGUUUCACUGUUCCUGUCCACUUCAGAUGAUUGAGGUAAGUCAGGGAGAAUAUGUUUAUAAACAUGUAUUUCAAGCUUGUGAUUUGGAUAAGAAUAACUAUCUGUAAAUGUUAGCUAAUAUGAAAAAAUAACCGUUAAAAUACGUACCCAAUUGAGCUAAGCAAGCCCAUAAAGCAUAUUGUUUGUCAUCUUCAACCCAAAUGAAUGAUGGAAUACCAGAACACAUUAAACUAAAGGCGUUUACCUUUGGGUAAUUUGAUGCUGAAGUUACAGAUUCCACUAAACUCUCUAGAAGUGUCCCUUCAAUCCGAAAUCCCUCGUUUUCUGGCCAAGUAGUAACAUUUUCGUCAACUAUAGGCCUUGAGCAUACGAUGUUAAUAUAAAAUGAUUCU